UGACCUCGUGAUCCACCCGCCUCGGCCUCCCAAAGUGCUGGGAUUACAGGCUUGAGCCACCGCGCCCGGCCCCACUCUGGCCUUUUAAGACGCAAAUGCGGGGUGCCAUGAUGUUCUACACAGCAAUGAAAUGCAGCAGGAAACUGUGAACAUGCACAGAACUAGGAGCAAGCAAACCCGAGCUGCAGUGUCCUUGGCCAACUCACCCAACCUCUCGGAUCAUCUUCAUUAGAAAAUGAGUGGCUGGACAUAAAUUCUGAUACGCUGUUUUACUGUUACCAACCCAGUUCACAUCUCAGCAUCUCAGAAAUUGAUUGCAUUGUCUGGUGAAGCAUAGGAAAUUGUUCUCGAGGAUAAGGGUCACGUUAAGAAAAAUGACCAGGGACUGGCCAGGAUAAGCAGUUCUUCCCUCAUACUCAUCCACCUGGCCAUGCAGUAAUGUUCAGCUCUGUGGACACUGACAGCAAGAGGAGGAGCAUGAAGAAAACCUUGCCAGGCUACGUAAUUCCCGGCAGCCUUCAGCCGCCACCACCGGUGAUGAAUCACAGAGGCUGCCGCCAGAGAUGGGACAUUUUGGGACUCUGAACAUACGACUUAAGACACAGGAUGAGAGUGGAGGCGAGAAAGAGAAGACAUAGAUCUGUCCAGGGCAAAGGAUUCAAAGGUCACCAGGACUCCGCUCACCUCCUGAGACCUGGUGACAGCGAAAACAUUUCCUCGACGUGACUUCUGUUUGGGAGUUGAGGAGACACUUCAGCCAUCCUGUAGAGUAGUUUGCAUCAGCUAAUGCUCCCUGGCCUGACACACUCACAAACUCUGACCCAUUUAGAUAACCUCCCCUCAACCAAAAAAGGCAGCACUUUCACCAGCCCCUGAAAAUCUCCCAAUGAAGUUAUCUUUUUAAAAUGAGAUAAUUACACACGAAGCACUUAGAACAAUGCCUGGUGCAUAUUCAGCACUGACUACGUGCUAGCUCGAGUUGUUAUUUUUGUCUCUGGUCUGAAGACAGAUGCAGUGGCACUUGUCUCCUCAGAUGCCAGUAUCUCAAUGCCCCUCUUCACCCCUACCACACCCAGCCUACCAGGUCUCAUCUCAUCGAAAAACAAACAACAAUAACGACAACCCUCCAGCCCCCAAGCAUUCUAAUCAAACACUGCCUCUAUGUGCUAUUCAGAUUGCUUUUAAAACAUUAAAAUAGAGCUCAAAAUGAAACAAAUCAGGGAUGCUUAAUGAUAGCCAAAAUGCAAUGUGGGGACCUUGUUUGGGUCCUGAGUCAAACAAACCAAUUAUAAGAAGACACUUUAGAGACAAUCAGGGAACCUUAAUUACAGACUGGGUAGCCAUAAUACCAAAGCUCUGUGGUUACUUUUGUUAGGUGUGAUAAUGGUAUUUAUUUAUUUUGUUUUCAAAAAAAAAUAUUUUGAGAGAUUCAGAGGUGAAAUAAUAUGAUGUCUGGAAUUUGCUUGAAAGGAGCUCAGCAAAUAAACAAUAAACAAAAAAGGGAGGAUAGAUCAAAUACAUGUAGCAAAAACUGCAUAAUUAUGGAUAUGGGGGGGUGGGCAUAUAGCAGUUUCUCCUAUUUUUUUUUCUACUGAAUUAGCUCUCAUGCAAA